GACGAACCGUGCAAACGUUGUUCGGAAUCACUGGGCUUAAAGGGCGCGUAGGCGGCUCGCCAAGUCGGGGGUGAAAUCUUUCGGCUCAACCGGAAAAGUGCCUUCGAUACUGGCGGGCUGGAGGGAGGUAGGGGCAUGUGGAACUUCCGGUGGAGCGGUGAAAUGCGUUGAUAUCGGAAGGAACGCCGGUGGCGAAAGCGACGUGCUGGACCUCUUCUGACGCUGAAGAACGAAAGCUAGGGGAGCAAACAGG
rnacentral:rRNA from 1 species